rnacentral:lncRNA from 1 species
AAAAAUGGAGGGAGCAGAUAUUAUGCAAAUUGUUUCAACAGAACAUAUUAUUUGCUUAUCAUUUUAGGAGCAAGAAAGGAAACUGGAAAACCCAUCCCCAUGGGACCACACCUGGCUAGUGGACUGGCUGUAACUGGAUCUGAAGAGUAACACAGAAGAAGGUCACAUAGCUUCUUGCGGUAAUUGAGGGAAUUCCAUCCUGAUGUGUCUUUCUUGUCCCAAUGUGUGUACCGCAAAAGAGUGGACACUCAUGUAUACCCAGCUGUCUACCAUUAAAGCCUGGGAUGAGGACAUUGUUGGAUGGGGUCUCAGGCUACACUUUUAUUACAGCAGUGCUGUCUGGCUUUGAAGACCCUUAAAACCAGAGUGAGAAUGAUCCUUCCUUAAGGAAACAUUCUGGUGGAUCUUCCUGUCAGCAUAAUAAAGGUAACAUUUCUAAUAAUCAAUAUAAUUCUACUUAAAAGCAUCAGCAAAGGACCUAAGACACACACUUUGCAACGCUGAGCAUCCGAGAGUGAGUUAAAAAAAUUCUAUCAUACAGGAGUGUACAACUUAAAACCAUUGCUGAAAUCAUUUAGAUGACCAUUAGCUCAUAUCUAUGAUAUUAUAG